rnacentral:lncRNA from 1 species
GUGAAGUUGAGGUUUGCAUUAGAUUUUGAGAUUUGGGUUUAUAGUUUAGGGUUUUGGGUUUAUAUUUGGGUUUAGGAUUUAGUGAUUAGUGUUUAGGGUUUAGCAAUUUCGUUCUCAAACUUGGUCAUUUGGAAAAUGUAAAUGGAGUGGACCCGUACUUCUAAACUAUUUAUAGAGGUUUCAUACUAUGUCGUGUACAUUGAGAAAAUUGAGAAUGUAUUAUAUAGAUUUUGUUUGGGUUUAUAUUUUAGUUAUUUGGGUUUAGAUUUAGUAACUAGGGGUUUGUCUAGGGUUUUAGUAUUUAAGUGGGUGAGUAGAGUUUAGUGUUUAGGGUUUAGUGGUUAGGGUUUAGGGUUUAGUAAUUUCCUUCUCAAACUAGAGUUUAGGGUUUAGAGUUUAUAUGUCAUGUCUUCAAAUUUGAUAUUUUUCUUCUAUGCCCUUUUGUAUGAUUGUUCGUUCAAAUGUUUGACAAUGUUAGGGUCAAGUCUAGUUCAAGAACGUCUUUUUCAUCAACAAGUAAUUUUAUUUCUUCUCGUACUAUUUUACAUAUGAUACUCAACUAAUAUAAAUAGAAUAAACAUUUGUAAACUAUUUUACACAAUGUCCAUACUAU